GUAUACACACCCGUGCUCUGAUACAGUGGAGAGUGGCUAAUGAAGCCCUCUUCACUGGAAAGAGAAACGCUGCAAUUAAAGGUUUUGAAGUUUUUAUCACAGAGCAGAGGCUAGAGGGCAAAAUGUCUGCUCUUCAGAUAAAAAAAAAAAUGGGAGAACCUUAAACAAAAAUAUAAAGUAAGAUUUUUUUUUAUUAUUAUUGUAGUUCACCCUAAAAUGAGAAUUCUGUCAUGAUUGAAUCAUGCUCAUGUUUGGCCCUGUAAUGCGAUCAUUUAACAAAUCAUAUGUUUUACAAUGUAAUUGGCUGUCUUGAUAGUCUGUUUUCAAAUAUUUGUAGGACCUGUAAUGUCCACAGACUGGGGUGAGCAUCCUGGAAAUGGUAUUCUGCCAUGGAUGAGGCAAUAGGGGGCAGACCCUCCAUCACACCACCCACCCUUAUUGCCUCACCUGGCCCGGAUGUUGCUGUAUUACAAAUAAAUGUAUUUUGUAUCAGAUUCCAGAUGGUUUUUGAAACAAGUGCCGCAUUGUAGAGAAAUGCCCACACACUCCAGACACCGGUAAAAUGUAUUUGUUUUAUUUUUGUGUAUUUAACUUUUAAAUGGAUACAGAAUACAAAGCUUAAAACAAAAUCACAUAAUUUUGGCAUAAAGUACUAUAAUAGAGCUUAAAGCACCACCAAAAGGAAAGGUAUUAAAAACAUUUUUAUUAUAGUGUCAUGAUGAGGAAAGAAAAUUAACUUCAGCAGCUUCAGUAAGGUAAUUUUCACAGGUUUCUUAAAGAUCUAAAGGGACUUUGAUACUAGCAAUGUCAUUUGUAGAGCAUCGCUUUAAAAUAACUCAAUAUAUGUUCCUUUCGAAGCAUGUGUACAAGAUGAGGACUUUACACCUUGGGUAAUUUUGGAUUUGAAGUAAACAAUUUGUAAUUAAGCUCAAGUAUGUGAUAUGUAGUUAGAAUGUUAAAGAUUUGGUAUACAAAUUCACACACACAGCCUAAGGCAGUGUGCCAGUGGUUGGUGGGUGUCACCUCUAGGGACCACUGUAGCUCCGAGAUCCCCUGUCGAUUAGCCUGGGUCUGCAAUAUCCCCAGUUACCAUGUGCAGCCGCGUGGAGGCCCGACAGGAGUCUUGGUGAUGGAGAGGCUUUGUCCAGCGGCAGUGAGCUGUAAGACAGAGGGAUGCACACAGAUAGCCAUGCACCUCUCUAACUACUACUACUGCACUGUACGCAUCACAGCACCCUGUGGGCUGUGCCCACACACACACACACCUAACUAUUUACAUAAUAACUAACAUAACUAACAUAGACAAGCUGGAACACUGUCAAUCUAAGAACAAGAACUGAUUUUAACCUGUGUUAAGUGUCCUACAGGUAAUCGUGCUCAUGAAGAGCAGGCACACAGUUGCCAGGUGCAGACACCGCUGCAGCUAAAUUGUCCCGCACAUGCUCUCCUGCGCUGGCUUCUGUGCUGCAGGGUUCAGGUGGGCCAUCGUCAUCCUCCCGCAACUUCUGGAUCAACUAUGUCCCCAUUACUAAGACAGAGGUUGUGGAGCACCGUGCAGCAUGCUAUGACAUCUGGCACAAAAGCAGGGCUGACUUCCAGUGCCUUGAAAAAAAUGGACCGCCAGCGUGUUUUCAGCAUCCCGAAGGCCCUCUCGACGAUGUUCCGUGCACGAGAAUGCUUCCUGUUGUAUUCUGUACAGGCUCUCUGUAUGGCGUCAUGAGGCAGAUGGGCGCACUCAGGCAAGGAUACCCACCAUCUCCAAGGAUGCAUUUUCCUGCAGGUGGAAACAGGCGGCCAGUGGACACAGGGCUGUUCUUCAGCACCCUGGCAUCGUGCACAGACCCAGGAUACCCCACAAAAAUGUCGAGGAACUUCCCCUGGUGGUCAGUGAUGGCCUGCAGCUGUACAGAAUUAAAGAGCUUCCGAUUAAAGUAGCACUGCACGUCACUUGCUGGUGGUUUGAUGCGGAUGUGACAGCCAUUUAUAGCACCAGCUACUACUCUGAAAGCUGGAGACCCUGCCAGCUGGGCAAAACCUGCUCCCACCGCCUCCAGGUCAUCCGCACUGGGGAAAGCGAUGAGCUGCCUCAAAAUCCCGAUGACUGCCUUGCUCAUUCUGUGCACAAUGUCGUGCACAGUAGACUUCGGGAUGUCAAAGGCGAGUGACACUACCGUGUAUGAUGCUGCAUGGGCCAGCCAGUAAAGGAACACCAGCACCUCAACGUCCUUUUCCAAGCCAUGGUCGCAUUCAAGUUUCACUGCAGCAAUCAAGGAUUGGACGAACUGCCGUGAAAGUCGGAGUUUGGGGCGGAGGUCAGCUCCAUCUUCAAAAUACAGCCGAAGAAUUGGCACAGCAGCAUUCAGGUGGCAGUAGAUUCUAGGGCUCACAAUCUGUAAACAUGUAUAUAGUUUUAUUUUAGAAUACAACUUUAAUUAACAAGA